UACGUAGGGUGCAAGCGUUGUCCGGAAUUACUGGGCGUAAAGCGUGCGCAGGCGGUCUGUUAAGACCGAUGUGAAAUCCACGGGCUUAACCUGGGAACUGCAUUGGUGACUGGCAGGCUUUGAGUGUGGCAGAGGGAGGUAGAAUUCCACGUGUAGCAGUGAAAUGCGUAGAGAUGUGGAGGAAUACCGAUGGCGAAGGCAGCCUCCUGGGCCAACACUGACGCUCAUGCACGAAAGCGUGGGGAGCAAACAGG
rnacentral:rRNA from 1 species